CGCCAUCUCUAGCUAGAUCGAUGUCACUAAUACAGCUGUUUUUUUUUUGGUCGUCAAAAAGUCAUAACAAAAUAUUGGAGAGGACGUGCAAUAAUGCAAGUAAGAUUUAUGGGGAUGGUCUUAUUUGCCCCCACAUUAUUAAGUGAGAAGGAUUACUAGUAAUGUCCCACGAGGAAGCCAGCGACCUGUCAGCAUUAGACUCUUUGUUCAGUAGAUACGGAGCCCAGGGAGUACGUGGGCUGUCAGAUGAACGCAAGAAACAGAUCUAUGCAGGCACACAACAGGAGGAUCAGGAAAGUAGCAAUCCUACUCUCAAGACAUUGAAAGCAAUCCUUGAUUACGAAGAAACCAUUCCAGAUCAAGAAGUGGU